GAUGAACGCUGGCGGCGUGCCUAAUACAUGCAAGUCGAGCGAACAGACGAGGAGCUUGCUCCUCUGACGUUAGCGGCGGACGGGUGAGUAACACGUGGAUAACCUACCUAUAAGACUGGGAUAACUUCGGGAAACCGGAGCUAAUACCGGAUAACAUGUUGAACCGCAUGGUUCAACAGUGAAAGACGGUCUUGCUGUCACUUAUAGAUGGAUCCGCGCCGCAUUAGCUAGUUGGUAAGGUAACGGCUUACCAAGGCAACGAUGCGUAGCCGACCUGAGAGGGUGAUCGGCCACACUGGAACUGAGACACGGUCCAGACUCCUACGGGAGGCAGCAGUAGGGAAUCUUCCGCAAUGGGCGAAAGCCUGACGGAGCAACGCCGUGUGAGUGAAGAAGGUCUUCGGAUCGUAAAACUCUGUUAUUAGGGAAGAACAAAUGUGUAAGUAACUAUGCACGUCUUGACGGUACCUAAUCAGAAAGCCACGGCUAACUACGUG
rnacentral:rRNA from 1 species